rnacentral:rRNA from 1 species
GUGGGGAAUAUUGGACAAUGGGGGCAACCCUGAUCCAGCAAUGCCGCGUGUGUGAAGAAGGUCUUCGGAUCGUAAAGCACUUUCGACGGGGACGAUGAUGACGGUACCCGUAGAAGAAGCCCCGGCUAACUUCGUGACAGCAGCCGCGGUAAUACGAAGGGGGCUAGCGUUGCUCGGAAUUACUGGGCGUAAAGGGCGCGUAGGCGGCUCUGUUAGUCAGGCGUGAAAUUCCUGGGCUUAACCUGGGGACUGCGCUUGAUACUGCGGAGCUUGAGGCCGAGAGAGGGUGGUGGAAUUCCCAGUGUAGAGGUGAAAUUCGUAGAUAUUGGGAAGAACACCGGUGGCGAAGGCGACCACCUGGCUCGGUACUGACGCUGAGGCGCGACAGCGUGGGGAGCAAACAGGAUUAGAAACCCUUGUAGUCC